rnacentral:lncRNA from 1 species
CUUUAAGCUUUUGUUUUAGUUUCAGAGAUCCAGAACUUUGCAUGAUUCAUGUUCUGACUAUACAUGUCGAUGACACUGCCAUGGUCCCCUGCUUUUUCAUGCGCAAAAAUGGGGUGUGGCGCCUCAGUCCCGAACAGGAAGGGCCGGAAGCGUCGGAGCGCCAUACAUGAGGUCGCCGUCUUUACCCCGACCAUCCGUGUCCCGAUGGCCACCGACGCCGUCCAUCCGCUCAGGGGACUGGUCUCCAAGGAGCUCGUCGAUCACCUCGCAACCCUCCAUUACAACAUCAUCCUACUAGCUGAAGAUGUAUGUAUGUUGAUAACUGCCCUUUGCUUGUCGUGGAUUACUUGACUAGUGAUGAGUAAGUAGCAAGAAUUAGGACCCA